rnacentral:rRNA from 1 species
UACGUAGGGGGCAAGCGUUGUCCGGAUUUAUUGGGCGUAAAGAGCGUGUAGGCGGCCAGGUAGGUCUGCUGUGAAAACUCGAGGCUUAACCUCGAGCUGUCGGCGGAAACCAUCUGGCUAGAGUCCGGAAGAGGAGAAUGGAAUUCCCGGUGUAGCGGCGAAAUGCGCAGAUAUCGGGAAGAACACCCGUGGCGAAGGCGGUUCUCUGGGACGGUACUGACGCUGAGACGCGAAAGCGUGGGGAGCGAACAGG